rnacentral:rRNA from 1 species
UACGGGGGGGGCAAGCGUUGUUCGGAAUUACUGGGCGUAAAGGGCUCGUAGGCGGCCAACUAAGUCGGACGUGAAAUCCCCAGGCUUAACCUGGGAACUGCAUCCGAUACUGGAUGGCUUGAAUUCGGGAGAGGGAUGCAGAAUUCCAGGUGUAGCGGUGAAAUGCGUAGAUAUCUGGAGGAAUACCGGUGGCGAAGGCGGCAUCCUGGACCGACAUUGACGCUGAGGAGCGAAAGCGUGGGGAGCGAACAGG